rnacentral:rRNA from 1 species
UACGUAGGGGGCUAGCGUUGUCCGGAAUCAUUGGGCGUAAAGCGCGUGUAGGCGGUCCGGUAAGUCCGCUGUGAAAGUCGGGGGCUCAACCCUCGGAUGCCGGUGGAUACUGUCGGGCUUGAGUACGGAAGAGGCGAGUGGAAUUCCUGGUGUAGCGGUGAAAUGCGCAGAUAUCAGGAGGAACACCAAUGGCGAAGGCAGCUCGCUGGAACGGUACUGACGCUGAGGCGCGAAAGCGUGGGGAGCAAACAGG